rnacentral:rRNA from 1 species
UACGUAGGGGGCUAGCGUUGUCCGGAUUUAUUGGGCGUAAAGAGCUCGUAGGCGGUCUGUCGCGUCUGCUGUGAAAACUCAGGGCUUAACCCUGAGCUUGCAGUGGGUACGGGCAGACUAGAGUGCGGUAGGGGAGACUGGAAUUCCUGGUGUAGCGGUGAAAUGCGCAGAUAUGGAGGAACACCGGUGGCGAAGGCGGGUCUCUGGGCCGUAACUGACGCUGAGGAGCGAAAGCAUGGGGAGCGAACAGG